rnacentral:lncRNA from 1 species
UGUUCCACUCCAAGGCGCUGGAGGUCUACGCGCACACCCUGCAGAACCUGGAGACCAUGGACGUUUACAAGGACCUGGAGCUGUUCAACGGAAGGUUCCGGAUGUCGGACGCCAUGUCCGGGCCUCUAGACGCCAUGCUGACCAGCCGAUCCACGUCCUCCAUGAGCCCCGCUGCCAGCCCCACCAGGAUGGCCUCCAUGGCCAAGAGUCUUAGUCCCAGCCUGGCCUCCACCAACAACCACAGCUUCCUGGCGUCCACCAGGGGUCAGAGCUUAGGCUCCACCCUGGCCUCCAGAAAGGGCCGCAGACAACGACAAGAACAAAACCAAGCGCCACUGGGGAGGCUCUUCCCCAGCAAACUCCAGCGUCAGAAAGGAAUGGAGGAGGAGGAAGAGGACGAGGUCGAGGAGGAAGAAGAGGAGGAGGAAGAUGACGAAGAAAUGUACGAGUCAGAGAUGGAUGAGGCUCAGCAGACCCAUAGGCAAUCUUACUCAUCUCAGUACGUCCAGAGUCGUCGACAGUUUAGAUAACAGGACUCACAGUCAAACAUGGAGGCAAAAUGACGGAUGGACACAGGCAGUAUAUGUUGCAUUAGGUUUCAUAGUUAAGGCUUUGUUGGCAAGCUUUGGAGAUCAGCCAUUAGUCUUGCAAUGGAACUGUAUGUUAUGAUCACAUUCAUUCUCUAAACUGCAUGGAUUUAUGAAUCACAGAGAAAAACCAUUGUAAAAUAAAACUGAAUUGUGCCUAAAAUGUUUUUGAAACAAUAUAAACGACUCUUUUCUUCCUGUUUAAUUGCAACAGCUGCUUCUCAUGAAUAAAAUGUUAUUAUGUUGUAGCUAGCCAGGCUGUAAAAUGUAAAAGUAGAAUGAAAACAUCCUGGUGUUUGCAAUAAAUCGGAGUAAAAACCUCCUCGUAAUCGUCUUGCC